GAAGUCCUCGCCGGGGAUCCUGCCCGCCCCGGCGCAGUCCAGGUGGUGGAAGACCUCCUGCAGCCUUUGAGUCCAUUGUCUGACUGCACAUCAAGAUGGCAAAGCAAAAUCGUAAGAACUCAAAGGCACUGGAAGAAGAGGUGAUAGAGGAAGAUGAUAAAGAAGAGAUGACAGACUUGAAUGCAAUUGGCUCUGAAAGCACUUUUGAAACUGAAAACAUAGAGGUGGUUGGGGAUGGUGGAUGUCUCACCCCAGAGGGUGAAAGCAGCAGGCUCCUCCUGUGUCAAAAAAGUUGAGCGGAACUGGAUGGCUCCCAUACUGUGACGUGCACAUUCACAGCCUCACUAGCUGUCCCUGUCCUGCCUACAGGCAAGUACCUGACACAGGUUUGCAUAAGAAACCUUCUUUUAUUACUUCAUAAGUUUGUGUGGCAAAGUCCUGGAUGGUUUAAGGAGAUAAUGUUAGAAAAGAUGUUAGUCGUUUUGAAUUUUCCUGCGUAGGUUGCUCAAGAAAAUGGCAGUGGGACAUGGGAGCCCUUUAUCAUUUCAUGAUUGUCACUGGUGACUGAAAAUCUUUCCUGACUGCUGACUCCUCAGCAGUCACAGUUAUUGAAGUUGAUGGUCUUAGAUGGUGCUUAUUAAUCAGUCACUGCCUAAUAAUGAAAAUAAAGGUAGCUUUUUGGCUUAUA